rnacentral:rRNA from 1 species
UACGUAGGGGGCGAGCGUUAUCCAGAUUUACUGGGCGUAAAGCGCGUGUAGGCGGCUGGUUAGGCGUGAUGUGAAAUCUUCGGGCUCAACCCGAAAACUGCAUUGCAAACCGGCCUGGCUAGAGUGCAGGAGAGGGAAGCGGAAUUCCAGGUGUAGCGGUGAAAUGCGUAGAUAUCUGGAGGAACACCGGUGGCGAAGGCGGCAUCCUGGACCGAUAUUGACGCUGAUGCGCGAAAGCCAGGGGAGCAAACGGG